ensembl:lncRNA
AUGCUAAAUCCGAGAGCCUGGGCUUUUCUUUGUUGGAGGUGGUUUCCCUGGCUCCUCUAUUCAUUUUUUGGCAAUCACAGAAUCACGGAUUUUAAACUGGAAGNNNNNUUAAGAGGUCAUCGGGUCCAGUCCCCUGACAUAAUUAUCUUUAUUUUGCAGAUAAAACUAAGUUGUCAUUACUGUGACAUAUGUGUAAAUAAGCCCUUUUCCUCCUGGGUAAGGUGUGAGCUCCAGCUGCACACAGGGGCUCCCACCAGCGAAGGGGUGGAAGAGGACAGGAAGGUCAUGCCUCUUAGAAGCAAGUGUGGGGUUUUGAAGGUUUCUAGGCAGAAGGUACCAGUAUUGUCUCUGUCAUCCACUGGGGGCAGGGUGAGGGCCGAGGUGGUGAAGGGCCUUGCCCUGCAGGCUCAGAAGGGCGGUGAGAAUCACAUUCUGCUGCCCCUCCCCUUCCCCCUGAGAAAGCAAAGGAUGCACCUGCCUCUCAGGACUGGCCACAGGGGAAAAGCGGCUGCUGCCAGGACACAGUAUAUUCUUCAGUGGCUUUUCCUUCAAAGAAAAAUCUCCUUCUGACCCAUCUCCUUGGGAAAAACAAAAACAAAUGAAAAGAGCCAGGGAAAACAGGCUCCCUCCCCAGGACUUAACUCCUGGCCCUGGAGCCUCACUGUAAGGAUACUUGGGGGCCAGCAAGAACCACCUGAGUAGCAGAAAUGUUUCCCAUCUUCCCCGCCAGUUGAGGAGGCAUCACAGGAUGGCAUCAGGUGAUGGUAGGAAAGGUAGGGGAACUACAGGCAGGCAGCCUAAAGCUGCCCAACUCUGGCCUCAGUUGCUAGAAUUAAACCGAGGCGCUUUUUACAUCUAGGUAAUCGAGACAUGGGCCUUUUAGGAGCUGGGACCGGUCUCUCAAUAACCUUAACACCGCUAGCCAAAAAGGGAAACUGGGGGAGACUGUUAAUAAAGUGCCUUGGAGAGGACUGCGCGUGCCCUACCGUAUCCAAAACCAGAGUUUUCUUUGUGGAAGAAAGCGACUUGUGUCCUCCCCCAGCAUCACACACAGACUUUCCUGGCAGGCCCGAUGGGUUUCCAAACAUUUCGUCACCGUCUCCUCCUGACCUUGGUGUGAAAGGAACGAGCCGCGUGGCCUGUUGGUUCCAGCAAAGCCAUCGGGGGGCACCGUUCCUGGGCUGGGGGAGGGUGGCGACUGACUCUGGAGUGGAGGUGAGGUCUGCUGGAAAUCCCCAGCCCGGGCAGCCGCCGGAGGUUUAAAGACGCCUUCCCCUGCCUUAUUUGGUCUCAGGAAGUAGGCGGUGCCGGGCCUGCUAGCUGAGAGGCCGACCCGAGACAGUUGUGCUGAUGAAGUGGUAGAGCUGGUUCCUGCUCGCCGCCGUGCCGCGCGCGCCGGCCGGCCGCUGGGCGCUCCGCGCUCCCAGCCCGGAGUUGUGCAAUCCUUUGUAGCACGCCAGAGAGUGCUCCUCCUUCGCCGUUGCCUCUCGCCCUCUCUCUCUCUCUCUUUUUUUUUUCAAGCUGUGAGCUCAACCGAUGAGUCAGAGCAGUGCAAUCCUGACACUGCAUCGCAGGACUGGGGGUGACACGGAGGGAGGGAGAGCGAUCGCGAGGAGGAAACCACGGGCGCGGGGUGCGUCGAGGCUCCUGCGCCGCAAGCAAGGGGUGACAGC